rnacentral:lncRNA from 1 species
AUGCCAGAGAUGACCCAGCCCAGCGAUGUGCUAACACCUCCUCCCACUGCCAGCACUUCCAUGGACGGCAAUGUAGUGGCCAUCAUCAUAGCUGCAACAGUUUCUUCAUCUGUGUUCGUAGUGGCGAUCUUGGUGCUGCUACUGCUCUUGUACCACCGGGACCCCCUGUGCUGCCAGUUCCUCUGCUCCUGCCGUUUCUUUCAGAGUCCGAGCCAAUAUGAUUGUCCUCCUCCAUACUUCAGCAGUAACCAGCGACUGGUGGGACCCCAAUCGGGAGCACAGCAAUUGGAGAGCCCUGCCGAGAAUCCUGGGGUGCAGGGAGAUGAACUAUUCUGCGUUGGACCCCCCAGCAGCUAUCAGCUCCCUCCCUGGGAGCAGCUGCGCUUGCCAAGCUACGAGAGCGUGCGGAAGAAGGAUCGGCAGCGGGAGAUCCAUCAGCUGAUUGCCGAGAGGUUUGGACUGUGGGUGGACCCCUCCCAGGAGGUGAGUGGAAGGCUGCUUCAGCUGCCAAAAUCCUGUCUAGAAGCACAGCAGUGGUCCCAUCCUGUUUGCCUCUAGGCCAUCCCCCAGCACUCCGCACUGCAGUAGCAGAGGACUCUGUUCUCUGUCUCUACAGUUCCCUUUCUCUCUGGGAAAGGCACACCCGGGUUCCAGGAAAUUCCCUGUGGUUACAUUUCUGCAGGUUAAUGCUCGAUCCCUCCCCAGGGCAUCUGCAGAGCGCGAGGAGAGGGGACAGGGCUGCCGGUCUGACCCAUCGGUUUGAAGAUUGGAAUGUGACUUCAGGAUUCCAAGUCCUUCUUUCCCCCCACUCCUUAUGCUGGCAGCCCUCCUCGCUGCUACUACUGUUGAAUGUCUUUUUCCCCUGCCUGGGCUUGUUCAUAAGUUAGUGGAUUGUGAGGCUUUGCCUGGUGCUCACCAUCCAACCCUUAAGCCUCCUGCUCAGUAGACUAGUGAAAAGCAGUGUUCUGUCUGAAGCGUCCACAUCCAGGUGAGAUCAGUCCUAGGGCAGCACCCCAGGCGGGAAAAGUCUGCUGUACCAAAUGGCAGCCUCUCGGUCUUGCCACACCCAGGGUUGCUUGGGGCAGAAUGGAAAUCCUGUGACUCUUUCAAUGCAGUGGGAUUCCUCUACUGACUUCCUUCCUUUAAAGGUUGAGCCGUUAAGCCUGUCUCCAAAAUAGAAUCCGUGCAGUUGACACGAUAACAACACUUAGCCCUGCCUUCCAAGGGCAGUUUGCAUGCGCAGAGUGCGUUACAUGCACUUACUAAACCCCUAGCGCCUUGUGAGGCACGAGAAGGUAAGGGCCUUGCCUCAGAGGGCGCUGGUGGUAGAGCCAGGUUUAGAACGCGGGAGUUCUGGCUCCUAGCUCUGUACCACGCACCUCGCCGCAGACUGAUUUCUGUGCAGAAGUGGAGAUUUAUAGGUGGGGGAGGGGAAUAUGUAAUGGCUAAUCUUAUUCUAACAGGAAAUUAAUCGUUUCACAGGGAAGAUUUCCUGAGAAAAGGUUUUUAAUGGAAACGCUGACAGAUCCCUGAACUUACCAGCAAAUGCCAUAGCUGGGGAUGAGGAGACAGGCCAUAGGAGUGGGUGGGAUGGGCUGUAAUAGCUGCAUUGGAUUUCCACCGCCGCUCUUUAGAAACUGCAGUGGGCCUAUAAUUUCCUCCUGCACACUUAUCUAGUUGGCAAUGUGGAAAGUGCUGCUGUUCUAAGAAGCGUUUAAUGGAUGGCCCAGAGUAUUUAAUUUUAGAGCUGUGGCAAUGGUGUGAAAGGACUCACAUAAAGCUGUUCUAUAACAUGGGUUAAUCUUCACCACUAUGUUUCUGCUCAGUAUAAUGGAUUCCCCUCUCCUCUCUGAUAGAUGCCACCUCCCUAUGAGCAAGCCCUAAGGCAUCCUCCAGCUGUCUCAGGGACUGGAGCAGGGUCAGAGUUACCAGAUGGGCAUGGAUUGCUGGACGCAUUCCAGGCCUCCAUCAGCUACCAAACUCAAAGGAACACAGCUGUGUAGAACGGGAAUCAACCCUGGAACACCUCUCCUUCCUUCUGUGGCAAGGACAGCAGGGCCUGUGAGGUCUCUCCCUGCCGGCAGGGCGGAAUGGAACUUCAUGCCUUCGGCCAGUCACACAAACAGCUGAGAACCCCUUGUGCCAAUCACAGGCAAAGCAGUGUUGAUUUCCAUCAACUCACUCCCCUCCAAGAACGAAGGUGGAGUGAAGACCAGGAUCGAUUUAACAGCCAUCUCUCUCCCAGAAACAGUGGAAUAAACCUGAGGGGAUUUCUGCUCCA